UACGUAGGGUGCAAGCGUUAUCCGGAAUUAUUGGGCGUAAAGAGCUCGUAGGCGGUUUGUCGCGUCUGCUGUGAAAACUGGAGGCUCAACCUCCAGCCUGCAGUGGGUACGGGCAGACUAGAGUGCGGUAGGGGAGAUUGGAAUUCCUGGUGUAGCGGUGGAAUGCGCAGUAUAUCAGGAGGAACACCGAUGGCGAAGGCAGAUCUCUGGGCCGUAACUGACGCUGAUGCA
rnacentral:rRNA from 1 species